rnacentral:rRNA from 1 species
UACGAAGGGGGCUAGCGUUGCUCGGAAUCACUGGGCGUAAAGCGCACGUAGGCGGACUCUUAAGUCGGUGGUGAAAUCCUGGAGCUCAACUCCAGAACUGCCUUCGAUACCGAGAGUCUCGAGUCCGAGAGAGGUGAGUGGAACUGCGAGUGUAGAGGUGAAAUUCGUAGAUAUUCGCAAGAACACCAGUGGCGAAGGCGGCUCACUGGCUCGGUACUGACGCUGAGGUGCGAAAGCGUGGGGAGCAAACAGG